GAUGAACGCUGGCGGCGUGCCUAAUACAUGCAAGUCGAGCGAACGGACGAGAAGCUUGCUUCUCUGAUGUUAGCGGCGGACGGGUGAGUAACACGUGGAUACCUACCUUUAAGAACGGGGAAAAUUUGGGAAAUCGGGACCAAAACCGGUAUAAUAUUUUGAACCCAAGGGUUAAAAGGGAAAGAACGUCUUUGCGGGAACUAUUAGUGGAUUCCGCGCUGCAUUGGCUAGUUGUUAAGUUAACGGCUUACCAAGGCAACGAUGCAUAGCCGACUUGAGAGGGUGAUCGGCCACACUGGAACUGAGACACGGUCCAGACUCCUACGGGAGGCAGCAGUAGGGAAUCUUCCGCAAUGGGCGAAAGCCUGACGGAGCAACGCCGCGUGAGUGAUGAAGGUCUUCGGAUCGUAAAACUCUGUUAUUAGGGAAGAACAUAUGUGUAAGUAACUGUGCACAUCUUGACGGUACCUAAUCAGAAAGCCACGGCUAACUACGUG
rnacentral:rRNA from 1 species